rnacentral:rRNA from 1 species
AAAGGGCGCGUAGGCGGCCAUUCAAGUCGGGGGUGAAAGCCUGUGGCUCAACCACAGAAUUGCCUUCGAUACUGUUUGGCUUGAGUUUGGUAGAGGUUGGUGGAACUGCGAGUGUAGAGGUGAAAUUCGUAGAUAUUCGCAAGAACACCAGUGGCGAAGGCGGCCAACUGGACCAACACUGACGCUGAGGCGCGAAAGCGUGGGGAGCAAACAGGAUUAGAUACCCCUGU